UGGGGAAUAUUGGACAAUGGGCGCAAGCCUGAUCCAGCCAUGCCGCGUGAGUGACGAAGGUCUUCGGAUUGUAAAGCUCUUUUAGCAGGGAAGAUAAUGACGGUACCUGCAGAAUAAGCCCCGGCUAACUUCGUGCCAGCAGCCGCGGUAAUACGAAGGGGGCUAGCGUUGUUCGGAAUUACUGGGCGUAAAGCGCACGUAGGCGGAUUGAUAAGUUAGAGGUGAAAUCCCGGGGCUCAACCUCGGAACUGCCUUUGAUACUGUUAGUCUCGAGUCCGAUAGAGGUGAGUGGAAUUCCUAGUGUAGAGGUGAAAUUCGUAGAUAUUCGGAAGAACACCAGUGGCGAAGGCGACUGACUGGACAAGUAUUGACGCUGAGGUACGAAAGCGUGGGGAGCAAACAGGAUUAGAUACCCCAGUAGUCCCUGAGCGGGCUGGCAAGGCGCAU
rnacentral:rRNA from 1 species